rnacentral:rRNA from 1 species
AAACUGGAGAGUUUGAUCCUGGCUCAGAACGAACGCUGGCGGCGUGGAUUAGGCAUGCAAGUCGAACGAUCUCUUUCUUCGGAGGGGGAAAGUGGCAAACGGGUGAGUAACGCGUGGGUUAUUUACCUAUAGGUUCGGAAUAACAUGACGAAAGUUGUGCUAAUACCGGAUAAGACCACAGUUACCAAGUAACAGUGGUUAAAGAUGGGGAUCCUGAAAAUGGACCUGUCGCCUGUAGAUUUGCCCGCGUCCUAUCAGCUUGUUGGUGGGGUAAUAGCCUACCAAGGCGACGACGGGUAGCUGGACUGAGAGGUUGACCAGCCACAAUGGGACUGAGACACGGCCCAUACAUCUACGGAUGGCAGCAACUAGGAAUCUUUCGCAAUGGGGGAAACCCUGACGAAGCGACGCCGCGUGGAGGAUGAAGG